UGGCGGGCGAUCGAAGGCGCCAGCUGUUUGUGCACCCGGGUGCUGCCACGUCGAGGGAGGUCAGAGGGAGAGGGCAGUGGGGUGAGUCUCAGGGAGAUAAUAAAGAAUGGCGCAGGUUGUAUUUGGAGCGUGGAAUUAGAACGAAGAGGGCGGAUUCAACUUUAAAUAAACCGCGCCUAUAAUCAUCCUUGAAAAAUACGCCCCAUUAGACAGCAAAUAAGGGAACGUGGUGACACAUCCUUUGAGGGGGUGCAGGGGUGAAGCUGACGACGAGACUGGCGACAUUCCGAGAAUUCUGCAAAGCGGACUCUUGAGCCCAGAAACGGCUAUAAACGCCCGAGCAGGAAUGCAGUCUUUCAAAACUAAAGGAGCUUCAUAAAGGUUGGCGUCAGGUGCGAUUUCAAAGGAGAACGGACAAGUGGCUGGCCCGAGAGCUCACAUCCACCACACUGCUGGUGGUCAGUGUCUAUGAAGGCAGACGUCUGUGUUUAAUGGAAAGACUCGGAGGGAGACCUUCCUGCUUCAAGUAGGUCCAUUUCAUGUUUUUUAUAUCUUUGGAUGCUUUUAGCAGAUUGGCAUACAUUUGCCUUUUCUAUUUAUGCCACCUUACGACAGUGAAGAUUAAAAGAAGAAGAAGGCCGAUGCCAGUAAAGCAGCCCUCUGUUUCCCGGUGUGUGGCCGACGUGUUGUGCUGCCUGAGCCUGGUGUGCCUAAUCAGAACGCGACAUCUCCACCUAGACGUGUGUCAGAGGAGUGAAAGGUGAAUUCGUGCCAGUUAACCAGGCAGGUGGGCACGCAUUGCAGCUCGAGGCCAAGCCCUUCUAGAACAUUCAGGAGCUCCCGUGAACUGCUGUAAAAGCUGAAUUCCUGCAGAGAUAAAUCAGGAUGGCACCGGAGAUGAUGAGACUCAUGCGUUAAAUCUGAAGCUCAAAUGAGAUCCCAACAGGAGGCAACUUUAACGUGUUUGCUGUCAGGCGUUCAUUCAAGAAAAUGCACACUUAUGGUGAGUGAGGUGAGCGGAUACUGACGGCCCCCAAAAGGUAAAUGGCGUAAUGGAGGGGUGGCAUUCUCUCUUGACGAUGUCUGGCUGCCUCACUCCUCCUUUCUGGAAGUGUCUCCAUUUCUUCUCACUCGCCUGCCCGCCUGCCCACCUUACCUUUGCUGAAGGCCUCAUUUGGCACAGAAGGGCAGUUCUUGUGAAAUCUGUGAUGGCAGCUUAAGAUGGCGUGAGUCCCGGCCUGCUGUGUCUGAAUUGCACCACACACUUCGCUUACUGCCUUUGGAAGUACAUCGGGACAAUUGUGCUUUAUAAAACUGUUGGUGCUGAUAAGCAAGGGGUAAGAGGUGUAGCACCAGGUCCGCUGUGCUCGCUGCUGCCACAGAUCACUUCACCAGUUCAAGAGGUGACAUGUCUCACCUUAUGACAGCCAUCUGUUAAACCACACAAAUGUUUAAAUGAAUGUCUGCUAGAAGUAAAUCCCUUUGUCAGAAGGAAAAACUGGGCAUACUGGUCAGAGAGAUGGCUAUCCAUCCAUCCGCCCAUGACCUCAACCAGCUUAUCCAGGGUGGCAUCAAGGGUCAGCGGCAGUCUGUACCCCCUAAUCAUCAGACACAGGCAGGAACAAUAUCUCCACAAGGUGCCAGUCCACCAUAGGAUAAACACACACACACGAGGCAAUUUACCAACACCAAUCCAUCAAACCAGACUGUGGGGCAAACACACACCGAUAUGGAGGACACGUGCAAACUCCAUACAUGGACCACCUGGAAAUCAAAUCCUGGUGUCUUUAUGGAGGGGCAGCAGGCUUAGCACUGUGCCACCGCUCAGGUAGUGAUUGAAAAUUGAUAUUGUAUUUAAGUUUCGAGGAAAUGAAUGCCAUAACGAGUGACGACAUGUGACACCGGGCGUGUCUGAGAUAGCUCCAGGCUCACAGAUGGCACAAAGCACAGCUCAACCAGGCAAACUGAAACACUUCCAGUGCUAAACUGGCACCGGCGCAGCACUUGUUUAAACAGCUCAUCUCAGGCCAGAACUGCAAGCAGAUGUUAAAAACAAAAUGAAAGAAGACAUAUUUAAUAAGAAAAUGACCAACCAAACCAAACCAAGACAAGCAGAAGUCAUUCCGUGUGUUUCUGUGAUCCUCCCUCUUUGAAGUCCAGUUUGAUUCCUGUGUGCCAAGUCUCCGUCUUCUUCAUGCCAGGCCCCAUUCUCUCUCUGCCUGCAGUGCAUUGUGGGCCCCUCUCUCAGUAUGGCUCGUUCCUUGAAUGUGCCCUCAGUCAGACCCUGUCACUUGGACUUUGUUUUAGGUAACAAACACAUUUAAUGAAUAAAAACUGACGUGUGAAAUAAUUAAAAGGAGUGACUUGUAGGAUCUGUACAGCUGAUGUGUUGAUGCAAAGAUGAUGUGUUUAAUCUGAAAAUUCAUACAAAAGAAGUUAUAAAUGGCGUAGCCCCCCCAUCAGACUCCUAGAGUAAGUCCAGCUUGUGUGGGAAAACAUUUCAAGGGAAGACCAGCUAAGGGUUUGGGAGUGACACGGUGACUGUUUGCGCUCAACCCAGUAGAAGAACAACAGCGACCUUCCUCCAUCUCCUCAGCAUGAAACCCCAGAGAGACGGGAGAUGGCGGUCAUUUACUGGAGCAUCGGCAGUGGAGAAGGAUCCCCGUGUUUUAAUUCUUGACCUGGGCUCAGAGUUAUGAAACAAGAGGCCUGAAAUGUGGGUAGUCGCUGGAUGGGUGAACGUGCGUUUAUUUACAGCCCCUCUGACUCCUGACCACGCAACACUUUGGAGAAAGUGGGAACAGCGACGCCCUUCCACAGGAGCCUUUCUUGUUUUUCGUCGGGGGCUCAAGGAGUUCACAAGGUGAUUGUAAUUCCUAAAGCAUCCUGAUACUCCAACAUUGAUGGACUAAAAGCCAGAAG